GAUGAACGCUGGCGGCGUGCCUAAUACAUGCAAGUCGAGCGAACAGACGAGGAGCUUGCUCCUCUGACGUUAGCGGCGGACGGGUGAGUAACACGUGGAUAACCUACCUAUAAGACUGGGAUAACUUCGGGAAACCGGAGCUAAUACCGGAUAAUAUAUUGAACCGCAUGGUUCAAUAGUUAAAGACGGUUUUGCUGUCACUUAUAGAUGGAUCCGCGCCGCAUUAGCUAGUUGGUAAGGUAACGGCUUACCAAGGCAACGAUGCGUAGCCGACCUGAGAGGGUGAUCGGCCACACUGGAACUGAGACACGGUCCAGACUCCUACGGGAGGCAGCAGUAGGGAAUCUUCCGCAAUGGGCGAAAACCUGACGGAGCAACGCCGCGUGAGUGAUGAAGGUCUUCGGAUCGUAAAACUCUGUUAUUAGGGAAGAACAAAUGUGUAAGUAACUAUGCACGUCUUGACGGUACCUAAUCAGAAAGCCACGGCUAACUACGUG
rnacentral:rRNA from 1 species